AUCACUUCUCGGCCUUUUUUGGCUUAGAUCAAGUGUAGUACCAAGUUUAAUAUCUGAUACGUCCUCUAUCUGAGGACAAGAUAUUAAAUGGAAUCUUGGAAUUAGGAGAUGGAAUAGGAGCUUGCUCCGUUCACUCCACACAUCGACCUGGUAUUGCAGUACCUCCAGGAACGGUGCACUAAAA